rnacentral:rRNA from 1 species
GACAGAGGAGCCAAGCGUUGUCCGGAUUGACUGGGCGUAAAGCGUCCGCAGGCGGCUGGGCACGUGGGGUGUGAAACCGCUCGGCUUAACCGAGCGCCGCCACCUCAUACGGCCCGGCUCGAGCGCGGGAGAGGUCUGUGGAAUUGCCGGUGUAGUGGUGAAAUGCGUAGAGAUCGGGAGGAACACCUGUGGCGAAGGCGGCCGACUGGGCCGACCCUGACGCUGAGGCGCGAAGGCGUGGGGAGCGAAC